rnacentral:rRNA from 1 species
ACGGGAGGCAGCAGUGGGGAAUAUUGCACAAUGGGGGAAACCCUGAUGCAGCGACGCCGCGUGUGUGAAGAAGUAUUUCGGUAUGUAAAGCUCUAUCAGCAGGAAAGAAAAUGACGGUACCUGACUAAGAAGCCCCGGCUAACUACGUGCCAGCAGCCGCGGUUAUACGUAGGGGGCAAGCGUUAUCCGGAUUUACUGGGUGUAAAGGGAGCGUAGACGGCUUUGCAAGUCUGAAGUGAAAGCCCGGGGCUCAACCCCGGAACUGCUUUGGAUACUGUAGAGCUAGAGUGCAGGAGAGGUAAGUGGAAUUCCUAGUGUAGCGGUGAAAUGCAUAGAUAUUAGGAGGAACACCAGUGGCGAAGGCGGCUUACUGGACUGUAACUGACGUUGAGGCUCGAAGGCGUGGGGAGCAAACAGGAUUAGAUACCCUGGUA